GGAGGAGGAGGAGGAGGAGCGGGAACGCCCCGGCUCGCAGCGCAGUCCAAUUAAAUUUCCUCCCAUGACCUCAUCACAUUCUUCUCCAACAAUGGCCGCUUUGACUUUUGAACGUGUGGGCAUGAGUGAAUCCUCCGUCGGCAGAGGAACGGCAACGACAUCGCCAUCGGUGCACGCAGCAGGUGCCGGGGUCAGAGGUCAACGAGCUGAAGCCUCCGACAGAUAAAACCUGAACAAAUUGAGGAGUUUUUCAUUGAGGGUGGGAGGACGGCCGCCGCCGGCCGAGCGCUCUGAUUGGACGGGAGGAGAUUAAAGUGGCAGGCUGGAGGCCGGUGUGUGUGUGUGUGUGUACUGUGCGAGCUGUUCAGUUACUAACGGAUCAGAGAACGUUUACUGACAACAUCACAAACUCCAGGAGUCCACCUUAAGACCAGAAAUAACCCAGAACCAGAUCCCCCCCCC